CGCGGUGACCGAAUCAAGAAAUUCCGUAACGAAAAACACCUAACAUUCGUCUUUCGUCGUUUCAGUUUGGCAGACUUCGGCUCGGUGUUUUUUUGCAAGUUAGUUUCAAUAAU